AAGCGACAAGUGAACAUUGACAUCCAUGAAGGCCAAUGGUAGCUCAGUCUUCAGUUCUCUGACUCCCAAGCUUCCCAUUCUCUUAGGAGGCUGCAUUUGUGGCGCUAAAAAAAGGGAUGGGCGUGGGAGAUUCCAGGACAUGUGCUCGCUGAAGAUACAACUGUUAGUCCAAGAUAGCAGAUCCUGUCAACCACAUUUCAUAGAGUUCUGAUUCCAAGAGAGACGGGGUUUCACCAUAUUGGACAGGCUGGUCUGGAACUCCUGCCUUCCUGAUCCGCCAGCCUCUGCCUCCUAAGAUGUUUUGUUCAUUUUUCUACUGGAUUCUUUUCAUUAUUAAUUCUGGAAGUAUUUUAAUAUUGUAGAAAUAAAUUGC